UACGUAGGGUGCGAGCGUUAAUCGGAAUUACUGGGCGUAAAGCGUGCGCAGGCGGUUGUGCAAGACAGAUGUGAAAUCCCCCGGGCUUAACCUGGGAAUGGCCUUUGUGACUGCACGGCUAGAGUGUGUCAGAGGGGGGUAGAAUUCCACGUGUAGCAGUGAAAUGCGUAGAGAUGUGGAGGAAUACCGAUGGCGAAGGCAGCCCCCUGGGAUAACACUGACGCUCAUGCACGAAAGCGUGGGGAGCAAACAGG
rnacentral:rRNA from 1 species